UUCAGCCCCGGCUGUGGCCCCUGGAAGAAACCGGAGUCAACAACCAGCGGGGUAAGGAGCAGGAGCGCGCUGGGAAGGUCGAGAGGACCGCCAGCGCUUGCCUGCCCAGGGUGCACCAGGCCCCAAUCACGCCCGCUCCUCCUCGUCGGCCCUGGCUCAGCCCCGUCAGGCACCAACUUCCCUCCCAGGCCAAGUGGGAGUGUCCGGCCCGCAAAGUUUCCGCUGCGAGGACACAGCAUUCAAAGAGCCAUCUUGGAAGCAGAGAGACCAGUCCAUAACCUGCCAGCACUUUGAUCUUGGACUUCCUAGCGUCUAGAACUGUGAGAAAUACAUUUCUGUCCUGUUCUUCUAGUCUCAGGAAUUCCCUUACAGCAACACAAAAUGGACUAAAACACUGCUUGCAGUAUGGAGGAUGGGUUCCAACUGAGCUACCAGGAUGUCCAGACGAGACAGGCUGGGGAUGGGCUUGGACCAGAGGAAUACAUAGAAGGUAAAAUUAGUGGGGUUGGGAGGGAAAAAGGGAGUUGUGCCAUAUUGCACAUAGACUUGUGGUAUGGGUGUCUGGAAAAACACCGGAGAUUGGUAAUUCAAGAGGAGUAUUUUGAGGUGUGUGAGUCUGUCUGUAAGGAGAAUGUAUGUUCAACAUACAAAUUAUGUUGUAGAAGCUUAAGAAAGAAGCAUUACAGAAAGAAGCAACUAUUUAACCUACUCUCAAAAGGUUCAACAAAGCCCAGAAGACUUGACCAUGUUCAUAGGCAGAGAAGAAAGAUCAGCAAAAAGUAAAAAAAAAAAAAGACAAAAGGGAAACCAGGAGAAUUGUUAGAGAAAAUUAUGACAAGAGGACAAGUCUGAAGUUCCUGUGGAGGAUGGCCCCAGCUGCCACAAGGGGAGUGUAAAAGGAGGUGAGAAAAUACAACCUCAUGUAAAGAACAAAAUUACAUCGUGUACCACAUAUUUAUUUUUAAGGGCAUCACUAAAGCUCUCCUUUUAUAAUGUAAAUGAAACAAAAAAAUUUUAAUGUAAUAAAAUAUACAUAAAAUG